CCUACGGGCGGCUGCAGUGGGGAAUAUUGGACAAUGGGGGGAACCCUGAUCCAGCCAUGCCGCGUGUGUGAAGAAGGCCCUCGGGUUGUAAAGCACUUUCAGUGAGGAAGAACGCCUGGUGGUUAAUACCCAUCAGGAAAGACAUCACUCACAGAAGAAGCACCGGCUAACUCCGUGCCAGCAGUCGCGGUAAUACGGAGGGUGCGAGCGUUAAUCGGAAUUACUGGGCGUAAAGCGCGCGUAGGUGGCUUGAUAAGCCGGUUGUGAAAGCCCCGGGCUCAACCUGGGAACGGCAUCCGGAACUGUCAAGCUAGAGUGCAGGAGAGGAAGGUAGAAUUCCCGGUGUAGCGGUGAAAUGCGUAGAGAUCGGGAGGAAUACCAGUGGCGAAGGCGGCCUUCUGGACUGACACUGACACUGAGGUGCGAAAGCGUGGGUAGCAAACAGGAUUAGAUACCCCAGUAGUC
rnacentral:rRNA from 1 species